rnacentral:tRNA from 1 species
GCGCGGUGUACCCCGAUGGGCAAGGGGGCCCCCCCGCAAGGGGGUGGUUGAUGUUGGUUCGAGUCCAACCCCGCGCG